CGCUUUCUACUUCGGAGAAAAUGCGUAAAGGACAGAGAUAAACACAUACACAGAGAAAAAACUAAUGUGUUGAUAUAAACAAAGAACGCGGGGAGAUUGUGUGCGUUUAAAUGUAGCAAUUCUUUGUAUUGUUUUAUAAGAGACAUCAAUACUAGCAUAGUAUUAAAGAUAGAACUCCUGAUAUUUUGUGUACAAUUGGUCAAAUAUAUAGUUAAACAGAAACAAAUAGUUUACUUCACUUUGAAGUUUUGUAUUUCAAUGAAUGACUAUGUAUUUUUUUUUCUAUCACAUAGGUAUUUUUCUGUACAAGACUGAAAUAUAUAUUUGUAUUCCCUGAAUUUAGGUGCUUUUGAAGGGAUGAGAUUAAUUGGAAUAAAAUAAAAAAACAAAUGAAUGCUUAUAACUGACACUCACUUUUUUGUAUGUCUGCACCAGCCAUUAAACUCAUGAUACAUUUGUUAACACUCAUAUUGUGCAUUAUGACAUCUACAAAGUAGCACUUUUUUUAAAACUGUAAUUUUAAUUUAUAUACGGAAUAAAAAGACUUUAAAAUCCG
rnacentral:misc_RNA from 1 species